UUGCUUGAGGAGGAAGCCCGGAAGAGGAGGGAGAGGAAAGAAAAGGAGUCAGAAAUGGCUCUUUCUCAGGGCCUGUCAUCUCCACUUAGAUCCUAUCUCCCCAUGACUCAGUGACCUGGAACUUGUGAGGAGUCCCCACUGGGCAGGGCUUCACAUCCAUGGAUUGGAGAUGUGUCAGUGCUACUGGGCAGCAAGGAUUUCUUAGGGCGCCAUCAGGAUGCACUGUCUGCUCUCUGUAAACCGGGAUAAAGAAGCUGCACAUGGAAGUGAUGGUAUUAAUAUGCACAAUACCUGGCACCGUUGACCUUCAAGGAUGUGGCCGUAACAUUCACUCAGGAGUGGGAACGCCUGGACCCUGCUCAGAGGGCCUUGUAUAGGGACGUGAUGGAGGAGACCUCCAGGAACCUGCUCUCUGUGGGGGAAAAGACAAGAGUCCAGAAAAGAUCAUUUCCCAUUCCUGGCCGUAUGGAAUAGGGACCUGAGAACAUCUGCUCAGCAAAACUGCACAUUUGCUGUGGACCAAAGACCACUGGGUACCUCCUUUUUCUUCAAUAAAUGGUAGGAUUUAUUUAAGUUUUAUUUCUCUGUUUCAGCCUAAUGUGUUAUGAGUGAUGAGGACUCCAUAUAGGACUCUGACUCAAGAGGAAUCUCAUGAAACUUAUGAAAUCCUCAUGUGUGACUGGAGUCAUGUUUUGGUAGAACUUUUUCUCCUUUCCUUUUCUUCUAUCCUUAACAUACAAGGUUGGAUAUAUUUUGUGUGAACAAAGAAGGGACAAAUUAUUUCUGAUAGAAGCUGCACUAACGUAUAUUAUUUCCAACUAAUUAUCACCCUGCUAUGCAGUUAUACAUGACAUUUGCUUGGUUUCUCAAAGAUGUAUACUCUGAUAUAAGGUAAGACAUGAGCCCUAGUUAUAGGCUUUUCCACGUAAGUUUUGUAUGGUUUCUCUCUACGAUGGGGUCUCUCUUUAUUGAAAUGUGAUUGAUAUACAACAGUGUUAGUAUUGGCUGUACUAUAUGAGGUAACAUGUGCAUACUUUAUGAAAUCAUCACAAUGAUAUGUGUAGCCAUCUUUCCUCAGCUACUACCAUGCUCCUUUUAAACAUAUUCCUUAUGCUGGAUAUUACAUCCCCACGACUGAUCUAUUACAUAGAGGUUUGUGCCUCUUAAUCUCCUUCACCUACUUUACCUGCCACCGCACUGCCCUUCCUUCUGGCAACAACCACACAUUUGUUCUUUAUCUGUGAAUCUGUUUUCCUUGUCUUGUGCUUUUGCUUCUUCGAUUCCAUGUAUAAGUAAGAUCGUGCAGUAUUUGUCUUUCUAUGCCUGACUUCUGUCACUUAGCAUAAAAUCCUCUAGAUCUGUCCAUGUUGUUGCAAAUGGCUGGACUCCUUUUCUUAAGGGUGACUUAUACUCUACUGUGUGGAAUGGACAUACAACAUCUCCUCUAAGCAUUCAUCUAUUGAUGGACACUUAGGCUGCUUCUCUAUCUUGGCUACUGGAAAUAAUGCUACAAUGAAUAUUCAAAUGCCUAUAUUUUCUCAAAUUACUG